rnacentral:rRNA from 1 species
UACGUAGGGGGCAAGCGUUGUCCGGAAUCAUUGGGCGUAAAGCGCGUGUAGGCGGCUCGAUAAGUCUGCUGUGAAAGUUCAGGGCUCAACCCUGAAAUGCCGGUGGAAACUGUCGGGCUAGAGUCCGGAAGAGGCGAGUGGAAUUCCUGGUGUAGCGGUGAGAUGCGCAGAUAUCAGGAGGAACACCAAUGGCGAAGGCAGCUCGCUGGGACGGUACUGACGCUGAGACGCGAAAGCGUGGGGAGCAAACAGG